GUUUUCUUUAAAUCUAGGCUUUUGACAAGAAAUGGGGGGGACAGAAACCCCCCAACAAAAAUAUAUUACCAAACGCUCCACAUUUAUUUGUAUUUUAUAAACAUCAGAUCUCGCAAGCCUCCAACUUGCACCAUCGCAUUUUGUUUAUAUGUUAGAUCUCUCUUUCUGUCUCUCUUGAAUUCCACGCCAUUCUUCAGGUCGCAUUUCAAUCGAAUUUCUCUCUUAGUUCAAUGGUCGAAUACUUUGUUGAGUUUUGAGAUUUGGUUUCGCUUUCCAAAUUUUGUGCAUCUCCUGGCUUUGAAUGACCUGCCACUGUGAAAUACCUGUGUUAGCUACUGAAAUUUGAGUGUGAUGAUUCGCCAUUGUGUUGGCUUGAUUUGGGGUAUGUAGAUGGCUUUUAGUUAGAAUAUAAAGGGAGAUGGUAGGGAGUUGUUUUGAUAAUAAACUACAGGUUGAAUACACAGGAGUUGAUUACAAUUCAAGUGAAAUUCAAGGUUCUCCUAUUCACAGAGAUCCUUCAUUCUCACGCUGGCGCGAUGAAGAUGGGAAUGUUCAUUUUGAACGUCAAUUAGAAAAUUCUGAUGCAAGCGUUGAAGACUCUAAUUUUGAAUUGCCUUUGCUUCUGCAGGACAGGGUAGAAAAUGGGAAUGUAGGUACUGAUAGAUAUCAAUAUAAAAAUAGGUUUCAGAACAAAAUUAUGCACUUGAAUGGUAAUAAUACCAUUGAUCAGGAAAUCAAUAUGCACACCAUGGAUCAUGAAGUCAAUAUACACACCAUGGAUCAUGAAG
rnacentral:misc_RNA from 1 species